AACUGUUACGAGACUAAUCGCGUGUGCCCGUGCAAUACUCGAAUGUUACGAGGAGAUUUUAUCYUUAACAUAGGUUUUUGGGGAAUGACAAAGGAAACAUUAUAAUAAUGCCAUUGACAAUCUUACGAGAAGAUUGCAUAUCGACACCGACGAUUAAAAGACAGCACACAUGAUACAGAAUGAAGGACAUGUAGCAAUUCGAAUUUUAUAAGACCGUUGUAAGAAUCGUGGUCGUUAUUCUGCAAUCCUUCACACGCUCUAUCCUCGCAUGCAAUUCAUUUUUUUAACGGUCUGAAAAGAUCAUCGAGUAAUUUCUAUACCAGAGUUGGUGUUUUCCCCUCUCACUAUAUAUAGUUCGGGGCAAGAGUAAGAAGAGUUCUCGCUUCGGAGAAGAGCGAUGGGAGAGGGGGUGAGAGAGGGUUUCAGAUUUUGCCUCUUUUUGUAAACAAUCUCUGUUCUUAUUUUAUCUGGGAUUCUGCGAAGGAUUCGCUCGUUUUCAAGGGCUUUUAGGGUUCUUGCUCUCGAUAAUUUCCGUAAUUAUUAAUGCGGAGGAAACGAUUGAUUACUGGAUUUUCGUGUUUGUGUGGGUAAACUUAGCAUAUAUUUUUUGAAAUGUUUUCGCCCACAGUUUAGGUUUUGAUUGAAGAUAUGGACUCGGAAGAUGCCGAUCUUUUGGAUGACGGAGGCGGUGGAGGGCUAUCGCUGGUGGUGCAUCGUCGGUUUCAUGCUAUGCUCGAUUUGCCUCGAGGCCGUAACGGACAGCGGGGAUAGAUCGAGGGGCGAAGCUGCAAUGCGGGCAUGAAUUUUAUCUCGCUAUUUGGAGUUCAUUGGUGUCCUUUUAGUGGAUUCGCUUGAGUUCUUCCUUCAUCUUUUGGGUAAGCAUGAUCUGCUUGUUGUAAGCUUAUAUUUGGUUAUUUUAUGCUAUACUACUUUUAAGAUGAAUGUGUGUAAACAACCCUGACUGGAACCAAGGAUUUAAAUAUUGACACAA